rnacentral:rRNA from 1 species
GCUCAGGACGAACGCUGGCGGCGUGCUUAACACAUGCAAGUCGAACGGAAAGGCCCUUCGGGGUACUCGAGUGGCGAACGGGUGAGUAACACGUGGGUGAUCUGCCCUGCACUCUGGGAUAAGCCUGGGAAACUGGGUCUAAUACCGGAUAGGACCACACACUUCAUGGUGAGUGGUGCAAAGCUUUUGCGGUGUGGGAUGAGCCCGCGGCCUAUCAGCUUGUUGGUGGGGUAAUGGCCCACCAAGGCGACGACGGGUAGCCGGCCUGAGAGGGUGACCGGCCACACUGGGACUGAGAUACGGCCCAGACUCCUACGGGAGGCAGCAGUGGGGAAUAUUGCACAAUGGGCGCAAGCCUGAUGCAGCGACGCCGCGUGAGGGAUGACGGCCUUCGGGUUGUAAACCUCUUUCAGUAGGGACGAAGCGAAAGUGACGGUACCUACAGAAGAAGGACCGGCCAACUACGUGCCAGCAGCCGCGGUAAUACGUAGGGUCCGAGCGUUGUCCGGAAUUACUGGGCGUAAAGAGCUCGUAGGUGGUUUGUCGCGUUGUUCGUGAAAACUCACAGCUUAACUGUGGGCGUGCGGGCGAUACGGGCAGACUAGAGUACUGCAGGGGAGACUGGAAUUCCUGGUGUAGCGGUGGAAUGCGCAGAUAUCAGGAGGAACACCGGUGGCGAAGGCGGGUCUCUGGGCAGUAACUGACGCUGAGGAGCGAAAGCGUGGGUAGCGAACAGGAUUAGAUACCCU